UACGUAGGGGGCAAGCGUUGUCCGGAUUUAUUGGGCGUAAAGAGCUCGUAGGCGGUUUGUCGCGUCUGCUGUGAAAACCUAAGGCUCAACCUUGGGCUUGCAGUGGGUACGGGCAGACUAGAGUGCUGUAGGGGUGACUGGAAUUCCUGGUGUAGCGGUGGAAUGCGCAGAUAUCAGGAGGAACACCGGUGGCGAAGGCGGGUCUCUGGGCCGAUACUGACGCUGAGGAGCGAAAGCGUGGGGAGCGAACAGG
rnacentral:rRNA from 1 species